UACGUAGGGACCAAGCGUUGUUCGGAUUUACUGGGCGUAAAGGGCGCGUAGGCGGCGUGGUAAGUCACUUGUGAAAUCUCUGAGCUUAACUCAGAACGGUCAAGUGAUACUGCUGUGCUAGAGUGCGGAAGGGGCAAUCGGAAUUCUUGGUGUAGCGGUGAAAUGCGUAGAUAUCAAGAGGAACACCUGAGGUGAAGACGGGUUGCUGGGCAGACACUGACGCUGAUGCACGAAAGCCAGGGGAGCAAACGGG
rnacentral:rRNA from 1 species